rnacentral:rRNA from 1 species
AAUCAAGCUACUAAGAGCACACGGUGGAUGCCUUGGCGCCAAGAGCCGAUGAAGGGCGUGGAGAGCUGCGAAAAGCUCCGGGAAGCUGCCUCAAGCAUAGAUCCGGAGAUGCCCGAAUGGGGAAACCCACCCAGGGGAAUGCCUGGGUACCCCUGGCUGAACAAAAUAGGCCAGGAGGAGGGAACCGGGGGAACUGAAACAUCUUAGUACCCCGAGGAA